rnacentral:lncRNA from 1 species
UACAUGCCACAUAAGCAAAUCUGCCUUGGACUGCGAUAUGUUACUCCCUCCGGUCCUUUUUACUCUGCAUAUUAGGUUUGUCCGAAGUCAAUCUCAUCCAACUUUGACCAAAUUUAUAUAAAAAAUUAUAGACAUUCACAUAACAACACCAAUAUCAUUAGAUUCAUCUUGAAAUAUAUUUUCAUAUUAUAUAUAUUAGAUAUUAUAGAUGCUAAUAAUUUCUAAUAUAAAUUUGAUCAAACUUAGCAAAGUUUGACUUUCGGCAAAUCCAAUGUGCAGAGUAAAAAGGACCGGAGAGAGUACUUGCUAAGUUACUCCUAGUAUGACUAGCUUUAUGCGUCCUCGGAUCAGUUGUGUGUAAACUUUUGUUUUCAAAAGACUUAAAAUAAAUACAUUCCCUGUAAAAGAUUUAAUUACAUCCCAUUUAAUUUCACACAAAGCCCAACACAACAAAAGAAAAAUCCGAAAAGUCGAGAUGAGGCCCCCCACUAACUUUUCGUCUCCUGCCGUGCGGAGGUACAGAUUAGAGCGAGAGGGACCCCCUAAAAACAUAAAGUAAAGAGAGGGGUGUUUUCGCAAGAGAGAGAGAGAGAGAG